AGCGGAGAAGAGGGCCUCCCGGUGAAAAUGGACAGCCAGGAACUACUAACCCUCCCCACCGGACGGUCCCAGCAGCAUAGAUGGCCCGGGCCAGCUCACCCUUCCUUCCCACCGAGGGGAGGUCAACAGGUGUCAACAGUAAGACACUGAAUAUUACAGAGGAGGCUUAUGCUGUUGCUCAAGAGUUCCUCAGAGACCUGCACAAUAAGAAAUCCAAACUGCAGCUGCUUGGAAAGUAUAAUAACAUCUGUAAAGAACCACCAUCCACCUACACCAACUGAAAUCAAGACACAUCUGAAAGACACUCACUGCAAAAAAACAGCAGUCCCUUGUGUGCAAAAUAAACUCAAUGGAAAGAACACAUUUCUACAUCUCUUGAUCAUUCUGCAACUGUGAAAUGAGGUCAAUUGUGAGGAAGCUAUGGCAACUCAGUUAUAGGCUCCUAUGGCUGAGAUAGAAGAGAUUGAGCAUGCAACUAUUGCCCUGGUGCUUCACCAGUCACUGAUUUAUGGAAUAGUAACAGACAGCUACUGUUAAAAAAAAAAUCCUGACAUCUCAUGUACAACUUGCCUAAUGGAGAGUCUCAACUCAAGUGGAAAAGGGUUCUAUGGUCUGGUUCUUUGGCGUUAAAAACACUACACUUGGCUUAGGACAAACACUACACAGUGCUUGAAUAGUGUUGUAAAGAAAAAUGUGGAAAAAUUGCAAUGUCCUUAUGUUUAAAGCUGCAAGAACUA